AUACGGAGGAUCCGAGCGUUAUCCGGAUUUAUUGGGUUUAAAGGGUGCGCAGGCGGGGGAUUAAGUCGGCGGUGAAAUUUUGCAGCUCAACUGUAAAAAUGCCUUCGAAACUGGUUUCCUUGAGUGUAGAUGAAGGAGGCGGAAUUUGUGGUGUAGCGGUGAAAUGCAUAGAUAUCACGAGGAACUCCGAUUGCGCAGGCAGCAUAGUAAACUACUACGGACGGUCAGGCACGAAGGCGUGGGGAUCAAACAGGAUUGGAUACCCUGGUAGUCCACGCAGUAAACGAUGAUUACUAGCUGUUUGCGAUACAAUGUAAGCGGCUGAGCGAAAGCGUUAAGUAAUCCACCUGGGGAGUACGUUCGCAAGAAUGAAACUCAAAGGAAUUGACGGGG
rnacentral:rRNA from 1 species